rnacentral:misc_RNA from 1 species
GAAAUGCGAUAAGUAGUGUGAAUUGCAGAAUUCAGUGAAUCAUCGAAUCUUUGAACGCACAUUGCGCCCCUUGGUAUUCCAUGGGGCAUGCCUGUUCGAGCGUCAUUUGUACCCUCAAGCUCUGCUUGGUGUUGGGUGUUUGUCCCGUCUCCGCGCGUGGACUCGCCCCAAAGUGAUUGGCAGCCAGCGUACUGGUCCCGGAGCGCAGCACAUGUCGCGCAAACGAGUGCCUUGGUACGGCGGCGUCCAUAAGCCCCUCUCUCACGCUCUUGACCUCGGAUCAGGUAGGGAUACCCGCUGAACUUAAGC